GGCUAGACGUGCCUACCACCCAUGCUGCACUCUUUGGGGCAAGGGCAGAGAGCUAAUGUAUCCCCGGGGCAAGGGUGCUUCCGGGCAGCAAGAUGUAGUGAGAAGUCAAGAACAACAUCUCGAUGGUUGGGCACAGAGGUGAGUACAGUCAGGGAAAAAGCUUGGGCUCUUGAGACUGACUGCAACUCAGAUUCCAGCUCUGCCACUCAGGCA